rnacentral:rRNA from 1 species
CCGGUGACAAACCGGAGGAAGGUGGGGAUGACGUCAAGUCAUCAUGGCCCUUACGGCCUGGGCUACACACGUGCUACAAUGGUCGGUACAGAGGGUUGCCAAGCCGCGAGGUGGAGCUAAUCCCACAAAACCGAUCGUAGUCCGGAUCGCAGUCUGCAACUCGACUGCGUGAAGUCGGAAUCGCUAGUAAUCGCGAAUCAGAAUGUCGCGGUGAAUACGUUCCCGGGCCUUGUACACACCGCCCGUCACACCAUGGGAGUGGG